CCUACGGGAGGCAGCAGUGAGGAAUAUUGGUCAAUGGGCGCGAGCCUGAACCAGCCAAGUAGCGUGAAGGAUGAAUGCCCUACGGGUUUUAACCUUCUUUUAUAAAGGAAUAAAGUGAGGCGCGUGUGCCUUUUUGUAUGUACUUUAUGAAGAAGGAUCGGCCAACUCCGUGCCAUCAGCCGCGGUAAUACUGAGGAUCCGAGCGUUAUCCGGAUUUAUUGGGUUGAAAGGGAGCGUAGAGGGGUUGUUAAGUCAGUUGUGAAAGUUUGCGGCUCAACCGUAAAAUUGCAAUUGAUACUGGCAGCCUUGAGUACAGUUGAGGCAGGCGGAAUUCCUGGUGUAGCGGUGAAAUGCUUAGAUAUUAGGAAGAACACCGAUUGCGAAGGCAGCUUACUAAACUGCAACUGACAUUGAUGCGCGAAAGUGUGGGUAGCAAACAGGAUUAGAUACCCUUGUAGUC
rnacentral:rRNA from 1 species